AGUGAACGCUGGCGGUAGGCCUAACACAUGCAAGUCGAACGGCAGCACAGUAAGAGCUUGCUCUUACGGGUGGCGAGUGGCGGACGGGUGAGGAAUACAUCGGAAUCUACUUUUUCGUGGGGGAUAACGUAGGGAAACUUACGCUAAUACCGCAUACGACCUACGGGUGAAAGCAGGGGAUCUUCGGACCUUGCGCGAUUGAAUGAGCCGAUGUCGGAUUAGCUAGUUGGCGGGGUAAAGGCCCACCAAGGCGACGAUCCGUAGCUGGUCUGAGAGGAUGAUCAGACACACUGGAACUGAGACACGGUCCAGACUCCUACGGGAGGCAGCAGUGGGGAAUAUUGGACAAUGGGCGCAAGCCUGAUCCAGCAAUACCGCGUGGGUGAAGAAGGCCUUCGGGUUGUAAAGCCCUUUUGUUGGGAAAGAAAAGCAGCAGGUUAAUACCCCGCUGUUCUGACGGUACCCAAAGAAUAAGCACCGGCUAACUUCGUG
rnacentral:rRNA from 1 species